GAUGAACGCUGGCGGCGUGCCUAACACAUGCAAGUCGAGCGAUCUCUUCGGAGAGAGCGGCGGACGGGUGAGUAACGCGUGGGUAACCUGCCCUGUACACACGGAUAACAUACCGAAAGGUAUACUAAUACGGGAUAACAUACGAAAGUCGCAUGGCUUUUGUAUCAAAGCUCCGGCGGUACAGGAUGGACCCGCGUCUGAUUAGCUAGUUGGUAAGGUAAUGGCUUACCAAGGCAACGAUCAGUAGCCGACCUGAGAGGGUGAUCGGCCACACUGGAACUGAGACACGGUCCAGACUCCUACGGGAGGCAGCAGUGGGGAAUAUUGCACAAUGGGCGAAAGCCUGAUGCAACAACGCCGCGUGAGCGAUGAAGGCCUUCGGGUCGUAAAGCUCUGUCCUCAAGGAAGAUAAUGACGGUACUUGAGGAGGAAGCCCCGGCUAACUACGUGCCAGCAGCCGCGGUAAAAC
rnacentral:rRNA from 1 species